CCAGAGCCCACACCCCACCAUACGUAGAUCUGGCCGGGAGCCCCUCCACCACCAUCCCCGCCCCUCCCGUGCGGCCUUCCUCGUCUCUGGUGAUGAAGUUCGUCCCCGGAUCCGUGACGACGGCGCCUCGGUGACAACCCCACGCGUGCGGCUUGGCCGGCCCAGAUCCGAUCUGGCGACCCCCCCCCCCUUCUGACUGGCUGAUGCGUCCUCCGGCCCGGCAUGCCCGCCUCCUCCCUUGGCAGCGGGGACUUGGUCUUGCUCCUCCCCUGGCCGCAUCCUCCCUCGGCAGCACUCUCUCUUCAUGUUGCAUUCUUGCUGGUGGUGGUUGGGCUUGGUCACUUGAUACAUGUCUGAUUGAUGAACUUGAUAUUGCGACCUUUCACAUCUUUAGGUUCUGGAAGUUAGAUUAUCUUGGCCUGGAUGUGCAUACUCGCCUGGUCAAUAUGAUUUCCUGAUUUGAGCAUAUGUUCUGUGUUGCAGGUCCUUGAGUUUGGGUGUGACUGGCCAUUAAGCUUGGUGGCUCAUAAUAUUUGCUCGAUGGAAACCAAGCAUACCACGGGAGGAUUCAAAGAAUUUCUAUUGGGAAAUCAAAGGGGGCAAUAACUUCAAUUGGGAGAAGUCGCUAGAAAAGAAGACUCAAGAAAAAUAUUAGAUUAAAUGGAUUGUACAAGAGAAUUAUUUCUACUUUGGAGACCUCUACCUGGUAACCACAUUCUCCACGUGGACGUGGGAAUAAGAAAGCGUAGCAGAGACAUGAAAAGCAAGGAUCAUACCCCACCCACGCGGCGGCACGACGCAGAAGGGCUACAUGGGUUAAUAGCGGCGUGUGCAAUGGAAGGACGCCUACGAGAACAAGCUCGCCGAGGUCUUGGAAUUCCAACCUAGGUAAACAAGUGAGCUCACUUUAACAGUUUACCCUUUUUUGGUGAUGUGGGCUAACUCAUUAAUUAAGGGCUACUCAGCUCUGUAUUUUUCUCUCUUUGGUAAUAGAAAUCCCCCUACAUCGCCUCUGUUCGAUUUUGGUAGCUAUCCUUGUUCUAGAUCAUAGGGUUGUCAUCUUCAUAUGUCAUAUGAUAUAUAAUUGAUGCAAAUUGCAGCUGACCCAUCGUCUAUCUGUAACCAUUUAUCUGUAGUUGUGCUCUUUGGCCAGAACGGUGGUAUCUUUGGCCAGAUGACUGGACCAUCUUCUAUGAUCCAGAAGAAGCACCUCUCGCACAAACAUGUAUAUUUAUUUGUGAAUUCGAUCCUAACAAGAGUAUUUGACCUUUAACAUUUUUCUGACAGAAAGUAUGACCACCAAAAUUUCUUGGAAUUCAAUAGCUCCUAAAACAGAUGUUUUGUCAUAGUGAAGGAACCAGAGGGGAGGAUAUAUAGUAGGAUGAAUGUCAUGGCAGCAACUGCAAGCUGCAAAAACAUUAUUGUUACGGGGUGCACCAGUUUCAACUGUGUCUUCUUGCAAGCUCCUUGUCAAGGAGAGUCCCAAGGUCAGUCUGUACUCUGUUGGCUAAUUAAUCCAUUGACUAUGUCCUAUGAUUCUCUAGGAGCACUAAGAAAUUGUAUGUUUUUUUAUAAGGUGACUGAAACAAAAAUAAUAAUAUUUUCACGCCACAUCCAGGAGAUGAAAACUUUAUUGGUAAAAAGACACAAGCUUACCCUUUUCAGCUUGUCUCAAGCAAUUAAGAGUUCCGUUCUUAUUUUUGAGCACUUCGAAUGUGUAUCUCUUAUGGACUAAUACUUUCUGAUCUGACACCCUAGUAACAUCAUGAUUUUGUGUAAUUUUUCUGAGUGCAAGGCUGGCUGACCCAUUUUUUUACAAGGAUUUGCAAUACUGAGAGACUCAGCCUGCACUGGUAAAAAUCCCAAUUGACUUUGCCCUUGAUUAUUGCAAUAAUGGGUUGAUUUUAGUGGUUUGGUCUGUGACGUGAAUGUGAGCUAGAGUAUAGGGAUUACCUGUGCCACUAUCAGUUGGCUUACAGUUUGGUGAUCCAGCACAAUCUUUCUAUUUUCUUCAAAUUCUUAAGCAAUUACUCACGUUUGAAGAAUGACGAUGGAGCAUACCUUCUUUUAGAAAACUAUACUGUGGACCAUGGGUGUUCAAGAUUAUAUUGUGGUUUGGGCAAUUGUGAGACGUCUAUCACCAUGAAUUGCUUAGAUGAUGCACCAAAGUGGACCUAUUUUGCAUUCAUGGACUUUGAUAUUUUUACUGAUCUCAUGGUUGUGAACAUCAAUGGUGUAAAGUAUAUGUAUUGCUGCUCAUAGAUAAAUCUUUACCGAGUUUUCAUUUUAUCAUGUACACUUCAAGUCUUGCUUGCCAAACUUCCACAAGUUCAUGUUAAAUUGUUAACUGCCUCAUGUUUGUUCUUCAUUAUUCCAUAUCAAAGUGAUGUUGUCCAAUGCGUCUGUUCCUGUCUGAUGAAAUUGCUUUCCAUGAGGUAUGCCCUGAAGAUGACACAAUAUCAUUCCUCUUGGUGCCUGUGCUAAUAUAACUCUUAUUUUGAAAAAAAAAACAGUUUCUAUGUAUUUGGGAGCAGGAUAUUAGGUAGAAAUCUUUUGGUGAACUGCAGAUUUAAGCGUCUCUGGCGAGUUCUUUGUCGGUCAGCACCACCUCCCUUGGCGCUUGACCUAGCAGAUGUGUGUGCGUGUGCAGAUCACCCAUGCCUCCACUACGCCACCUGCUGUUGGAUGGCACUGGCCGUCCAAGCGUGUGGAACUGGAAGGACUGUCCUUCAUGGUGGCACAACUCAGCUCGGAGGAUAAAAGACCAAGGUCCUGCAGGUAACAUCCCAUCAACUACCUGUCUACUCCCUCCGUCCCAAUAUAAGUGACUCAACUUUGUACUAACUUUAGUACAAAGUUAGUACAAACUUGAGUCACUUAUUUUCGGACGGAGGGAUUACUAAAUAGAAAGCUUCCAUCUUGAUGUAAUUUACUGGAGGUUAAUCCUACUUGCUUGUUUGAUAAACCUUGUCAUAUGCUUCAUGUGAGGUUUCUUGUAUUGGUAGCAGGCAAUGAGUUACUAUAUAUGAUAUCAUAUUCCAAAUACAAUUAUUCAACUCAUCAGUUCAGCAGAUCCUACAUAAAAGGAAAAGUGAACAGACAACAUGCAUUUGCUUUGGUUUAUGGUUUUUUAGAGCAUCACUAAGUUUGCCAAAAGAAAUUCGCCCAAAACAAACAUCACGACACUCCGUUUUAGCCUAAACAGAAGUGGCUUCAGUUUAUGACAUCUCUGAAUUUUGAGAAUAGUAGGACAUGAUCUGCAAUUGCGCUUUGCAAGUUUUACUGAUUUCUUGUGCAAGAUCCUAAAACAGUUUACCAUUUUGAUCCCUAGAUUUUCUUAUAUUGUCGAAGUUUCUUCCAAAUAAAUAUACAAUAUGUUUGGGGUUUAUCUGAGUGCCUAGCAUGGUGCAACAGUUAUAUUUUUCUUCAACGACGGUGAAAGAGCUAUCACUUAUAUCGAUCUCCAAUUCAAGUUCUUUUUUUCUAUGGAGGGCACUGUAACUAUCUCAUGGUCAGAACAUUGAUCCUGUUAGUAAUUUAGUCUAUAAUAUUUAGUUUCAAAAGAUAAUUUCUCUUGAGUGAGAAGUUUCCAUUUCUCUUGAGUGAGAAAUUUCCAGAGGGCGGCGGUGUUGAAGGGAGCCGCUGGCGCUGGCCAAGAUCCCAACCGAUGGACGUGCCUGGUCGCUGGAUCCAGUUCACGCGUUGGCUUGGGGGCACCUCGGGGAUGUCACCGGUGUUGGAGGCGUCCACAAUAGUGCGGGAUGGGGACCGAGCGUCGGGGCAUGUCGCGGGUUCCGGUUGAGGGCUUGAUCAUAUAACUGAAUUCUUAUUGCUUGCUUUCUGACAUUGUGACAUUGAACACUAGAGCUGAAUUGACUCUCUUCACAAGACUCACUUUGAUACAGCCUUCAUGUGAAGUUUUCAAGUACUACAUAUAGGAGGGGGCAGGAGUGGCUGCAAUCUUGCUACGAAAUGACACUUAUGGAGCUUCUUUACCUAACAUGGCCAAGAAGUCUGCAAACUCCAGUAAUCGUAGAGUAGAGCCGGUUGGAUACAUAUUUGCAGAGUGCAUGUAGUGUGUGUGUCAGAUAUACAGUGGGAAAACACAACAAUGCAAGUGUCAGAUCCUGUUCUCGAUGCAAUUUUGCGACUCUAUUCUGGACUGUAAGCAAUUGGUUGAUGUUAAGCUGAAACUCGGAUCA